rnacentral:rRNA from 1 species
UACGGAGGGUGCAAACGUUGCUCGGAAUCAUUGGGCGUAAAGCGCACGUAGGCGGCUUUGUAAGUUAGAGGUGAAAGCCCGGGCUCAACUCCGGAAUUGCCUUUAAGACUGCAUCGCUUGAAUCCGGAGAGGUGAGUGGAAUUCCGAGUGUAGAGGUGAAAUUCGUAGAUAUUCGCAAGAACACCAGUGGCGAAGGCGCUCACGUGGCCGUACGUGACGCUGAGGUGCGAAGCGUGGAGCAACAGAUGAGAUACCCG